UACGAAGGGGGCUAGCGUUGUUCGGAAUUACUGGGCGUAAAGCGCACGUAGGCGGAUAUUUAAGUCAGGGGUGAAAUUCCCAGAGCUCAACUCUGGAACUGCCUUUGAUACUGGGUAUCUCGAGUAUGGAAGAGGUGAGUGGAAUUCCGAGUGUAGAGGUGAAAUUCGUAGAUAUUCGGAGGAACACCAGUGGCGAAGGCGCUCACUGGUCCAUUACUGACGCUGAGGUGCGAAAGGCGUGGGGAGCGAACAGGA
rnacentral:rRNA from 1 species